CUUGUGUUUAUGGGACCCUGGUUGCAUAUUAUAAAAAUUCUUUUAUCAUGUCUAUAGAUGUAUUCUCAUGGUGAAUAUGUAGACGUCGAUACUCGAUGCAGAUCAGUGUACGUUGGAUCAGAGAAGGUGAUAUUGGACCAAGUCAGCCAUUCCAAGUUUCUAACUGGAACAAAGAUUUGUCACAGAUACCAGACGUAGGAUCUUUUUGAUGUCUUAGUUUACCUCAUGCAGAAGUGUCGGUGGAGUUCUGCAUGUGUAUUAAACUACAAGCAGGACAAUCAAUGGUUAUCAUCUUCAUAUGGAUAUAAUGGAGCAUGUAAGCAUUGUGUUGCUUUCAUUUCCUCAUUGUCCAGUUUUUUGUGAAAGGCACAGGGACCGAAGCACAGAGGCCUGUACAGACUUACAGUGUGUCUGGGAUAAGCCAAAGAAAAAGUCCGUACCAAGUGAAAUAAGCAAGAUAGAUUGAGGAUUGACCAGACCCAACAACCAUCCAUUAUGCCCACAUUGUGUAAUAUCCAGACAUAAAGCAUGCUUGUUUUGAGAUACACACAGAAAUUCAGACAUUUGAGAGCAUUGGCAAUAAAUUUUAUUAUAGCGUUGAGUAUUAAAUCAUUAUACAUUGUACAUAAAGAGUACCUUAAAUUUUGUA